GCGGUAAGCUGUUAUAUAGAAC
rnacentral:siRNA from 1 species